GAUCAUGGCUCAGGAUGAACGCUGGCGGCAGGCUUAACACAUGCAAGUUGAACGGGAUUUGUAUGGUGCUUGCACCAUGUAAUGAGAGUAGCGCACUGGUGAGUAACACGUGGGAACAUACCUUGAAGUGGGGGACAACAGUUGGAAACGACUGCUAAUACCGCAUAAUCCCUGAGGGGGAAAGAUUUAUCGCUUUAAGAUUGGCCCGCGGAAGAUUAGGUAGUUGGUGGGGUAAAGGCCUACCAAG
rnacentral:rRNA from 1 species